GACCCCCGGGACCCCUCCCCGAGCACCGGCGGCGGGACGGGGGAUGCGCCGUCCCCAACCCCGGCCCGGGCCAACAACAAAAAAAACCCCCCCAUCCUGGCAAAACUUAAGCAGAAACAAGCACGUAAAAAAAGGCCCUUUAAGGAAGUUUCCCUAAAGGAAAAGGGAAGGAGCCCUGGCCGUAAAGGGGCUCUGCCCCGACUCAGCCGCUGCUGCUCCUCUAUUAUUCACUGCCAAGGUGACAAAUCCAGACUCUUAUUAUUCAAAGGAAUAAAUCGUGUCCUUGCAAAAGACUCAA